AUCACGAGUUAGUCGGUCCUAAGUUCAAGGCGAAAGCCGAAAAUUUUUCAGUUAUAAAUAAAUUUAAUAAUCAUGUAUACAUGGAAGGGUGUGUAAAUAUUAUGUGGAAGUAUAUUAUAAUUAAUAUAUGGAAGGGUAAUAUACACAUGUGGAAAUGCAUACAAAAAAUAUACAUGGAAGGGUGUGUAAAUAUUAUGUGGAAGUAUAUUAUAAUUAAUAUAUGGAAGGGUAAUAUACACAUGUGGAAAUGCAUACAAAAAAAUAUACAUGGAAGGGUGUGUAAAUAUUAUGUGGAAGUAUAUUAUAAUUAAUAUAUGGAAGGGUAAUAUACACAUGUGGAAAUGCAUACAAAAAAUAUACAUGGAAGGGUGUGUAAAUAUUAUGUGGAAGUAUAUUAUAAUUAAUAUAUGGAAGGGUAAUAUACACAUGUGGAAAUGCAUACAAAAAAUAUACAUGGAAGGGUGUGUAAAUAUUAUGUGGAAGUAUAUUAUAAUUAAUAUAUGGAAGGGUAAUAUACACAUGUGGAAAUGUAUACAAAAAUGUAAUUAAACACUGAAUUAUUUUUGAACGAAAGGGAAUACGGUUCCAAUUCCGUAACCUGUUGAGUAUCCGUUUGUUAUUAAAAAUGGGCCUUGUGCUCAUCCUGGUAACAGGAACGACCAUAAAGAAGCCGUCGAGAGAUAUCGGAAGAGUUUUCUUUUCUGUUUUAUAGUCGUACUACCAUGGAAGUCUUUCGAAGAGAGAUAUGGUAGAUGGACUAGAAGAGCAUGACAUUUACUGUUGUGUCGAUAUUUUCUCCUCGGACCUUGAAAAUUUAUGGUGGGGUUACGCAAACUUCUCAACAGGCCGUACCGAUAUCCGCAGCUGGUCUCCAAGGUGAAGAGUCUCUAGUCGAUAGAAUAAUGU
rnacentral:rRNA from 1 species